AUGAGAUUGUUAUUCAGGGAUAAAAAUUGCUUUGAUUGCAAUUUGAUUAUGUGUAAUAGUGUUGAUUUUGUAUUGAUUGUUUACGAUUCGAUUUUUACUAGUGUUAAUAUAUUGAUCUUGUUAUGUAUGCAAACACCAGAAAAGAAGGAUUUGUUUUUAACGAUACUAGUUAAAGGUGUGCAUUAUUCUCUCUCCAAUU